GGGCCUGUGGCUCAGUGGGAGAGAAUUUGCUUUGCACGCAGAAGGUCUUUGGUUCAUUCCCUAAUAUAACCG
rnacentral:tRNA from 1 species